CGGCCCCGAGGAUUUCACAGCGAGUCCAGGCUCCGAACCCGGCAGCUGACAGCUGGGCUUGUUGAUACAAGCACGGUCACUUACACUGGACCUGCAGUGUGGCGGCAGGGAAGACCAGUCAGUGUUCAUGCACAACAGUGUUUUGUAGGAAGGAACUGCAGAUGUUGGUUUAAACUGAAGAUAGACACAAAAUGCUGGAGUAACUCAGCGGGACAGGCAGCAUCUCUGGAGAGAAGGAAUAGGUGACGUUUCGGGUCGAGACACUUCUUCAGACUGAUGUCAGUAGAACACAGAUGAUUCAGGCCCUACACGACACAUUGAAAACAGCCAAGCAGAUAGCAGCCAAUGUUCCUAUUGUGCGGCAACAAACUCUUCUCCACGUUCAGUUGUUUGUGAAGCAGGCUUAAAGUGUGGGAGGAAACCAAAGAUCUCGGAGAAAACCCACGCAGUCACGGGGAGAACCUGCAAACUCCACACAGACAGCAACCAUAGUCGGGUUCGAACUUGGCUCGCAGGCGCUGUAAGGCUGCAACUCUAUCGCUGUGCCACCGUGCCACCGUGCCACCCCACGUUUCCAUGGUAACUAAUUCCUGCAUUGAAAUAUCCAAUAAAAUUCAUAAAGUCCUCAAAGAAAAUGUAGUAGUGUUUCAGGUUAUGAAAAGCACUGUAACAUAAUAUUCUUAAUAAAACUAAUAAUAAUUUAAAGAAUUGUACUGGCAGGGAUGUUGGUGAAUUCUCAGUUGCUAUUAUAAUAUGUUCAUUUGCUGGAUAUACAUCUGAAUUGCUUGGAGAAUAGAAAUGUGAACUGAAAUGCAUGGCAAAUAAUUCAAAAAUAAAGCAUAAUCUGAUAAUUUAGCUGCCUGCAUCAUUAAAUGUUCCCCAUGGAUAAUUCAAGAGGUAGCCUGGAAUUAAUAUUUUCUUCCAUUCUUUCUGCAGAGAGUCUAAUAUCAAGGCUGAAAAACUGUGCAUAAUUAUUGCACUGGUCCAAUCUCUUUAAUGGUAGACGCAGUGUUUUGAAGCAUUCCCAAUAAGGCUGAGUGCGGCAAGCAGACCCUGUGGUAUAAUGCAACAACAUAUUAAAUGUCUGGGGCACGGUCAUAACAUUUCAAGAGUGGAUGCUGAGUCUGGGGAAAAGGUUGGAGAUGAAAGUACAUAAUCUUAUAUUUUCAUGGCAUCACAAAUUGCUCCCGGUAGAUGAUGUGCAGAGUUGUACUGAGUAAACAAGACGUCUGCUUUCUGUGAUUAAAACCAAGACCACGAGUUAUAUUCUGCUCUGAUAAAAACGGGGGAAUUGGUGAAUGGUAAGUGUAAAGUUCUGAGGGGAUUUUCUUGAUUCCAGGUCCAACAAUGUGGAUUAGAUCAUAAGAUCAUAGUCGAAUUAGGCCUUUCGGCCCAUCAAGUCUACUCCGCCAUUCAAUCGUGGCUGAUCUACCUUAACCCUCCUAAUCCCAAUUCUCCGCAUAACCUCUCCACUCCCGUACUAAUCAAGAAUCUAUCUAUCUCUGCCUUAAAUAUAUCCACUGACUUUGCCUCCACAGCCUUCUGUGGCAAAGAAUUCCACAGAUUCACCACCUUCUGACUAAAGAAUGACAAGAUUCAAAAUGACCACAACCGUUCAAGCAUCCACCCCUGAACAUACAUCCCUUCCUCCACUUGACAGUGGGACAGCAAGAUUGUCUGCACUAAUUCACAAAGAUAUGCUUGACAGCAUCUCCCCCCAAUGCACCCUGACGCCCUGAUCAUUUAUCAUUUAGGCCAGUUGACAUUUGAGUUUAGAAUUUAGAGAGACAACAUGGAAACAAACCCAUUCAAUCCAUAUCAACUAUCGGGCACGUGUUCACAUUUGUUCUAUGUUAUCCCACUUUAUCAUUCACUCUGCACACACUGGGGGCAAUUUUACUGAGGUCAAUCAAACUACAAACCCACCCAUCUUUAUGAAUGUGAGAAAGCCCAAUGUGGCCACAAAGAACAAACUC